rnacentral:rRNA from 1 species
AUUGAACGCUGGCGGCAGGCCUAACACAUGCAAGUCGAACGAGUGGCGGACGGGUGAGUAAUGUCUGGGAAACUGCCUGAUGGAGGGGGAUAACUACUGGAAACGGUAGCUAAUACCUCAUACCAUCAGAUGUGCCCAGAUGGGAUUAGCUUGUUGGUGGGGUACCGGCUCACCAAGGCCACGAUCCCUAGCUGGUCUGAGAGGAUGACCGGCCACACUGGAGCUGAGGCACGGUCCAGAAUCCUACGGGAGGCAGCAGUGGGGAAUAUUGCACAAUGGGCGCAAGCCUGAUGCAGCCAUGCCGCGUGUAUGAAGAAGGCCUUCAGGUUGUGAAGUACUUUCAGCGGGGAGGCGUUACCCGCAGAAGAAGCACCGGCUAACUCCGUGCCGGCCGCCGCGGUAAUAC